CCUACGGGUGGCAGCAGUGGGGAAUAUUGGGCAAUGGGCGCAAGCCUGACCCAGCAAUGCCGCGUGAAGGAAGAAGGCUUUCGGGUUGUAAACUUCUUUGACAGGGGAAGAGCAGAAGACGGUACCCUGAAAACAAGCCACGGCAAACUACGUGCCAGCAGCCACGGUAAUACGUAGGGGGGAAGUGUUGUCCGGAUUUACUGGGUGUAAAGGGCGUGUAGCCGGGAAGGCAAGUCUGAUGUGAAAUCUGGGGGCUCAACCUCCAAAUUGCAUUUGAAACUGUUUUGCUUGAGUACUGGAGAGGCAGGCGGAAUUCCUUGUGUAGCGGUGAAAUGCGUAGAUAUAAGGAGGAACACCAGUGGCGAAGGCGGUCUGCUGGACAGCAACUGACGGUGAGGCGCGAAAGCGUGGGGAGCAAACAGGAUUAGAUACCCUGGUAGUC
rnacentral:rRNA from 1 species